rnacentral:rRNA from 1 species
CCUACGGGAGGCAGCAGUGGGGAAUUUUGGACAAUGGGCGAAAGCCUGAUCCAGCCAUUCCGCGUGCAGGAUGAAGGCCCUCGGGUUGUAAACUGCUUUUGUACAGAACGAAAAGGUUUCUAUUAAUACUAGGAGCUCAUGACGGUACUGUAAGAAUAAGCACCGGCUAACUACGUGCCAGCAGCCGCGGUAAUACGUAGGGUGCAAGCGUUAAUCGGAAUUACUGGGCGUAAAGCGUGCGCAGGCGGUUAUAUAAGUCAGAUGUGAAAUCCCCGGGCUCAACCUGGGAACUGCAUUUGAGACUGUAUAGCUAGAGUACGGUAGAGGGGGAUGGAAUUCCGCGUGUAGCAGUGAAAUGCGUAGAUAUGCGGAGGAACACCGAUGGCGAAGGCAAUCCCCUGGACCUGUACUGACGCUCAUGCACGAAAGCGUGGGGAGCAAACAGGAUUAGAUACCCUGGUAGUCCACGCCCUAAACGAUGUCAACUGGUUGUUGGGUCUUAACUGACUCAGUAACGAAGCUAACGCGUGAAGUUGACCGCCUGGGGNGGUAACGGCGCGAGUUAGUAAGUUAAAGUUAAGUUAGAGGNGNGAGAGNGCGAGGACGACGACGAGGGAGGAGG